UCGAGAAUUUUUCACAAUGGGGGAAACCCUGAUGGAGCGACGCCGCGUGGAGGAUGAAGGCCUUUUGGUCGUAAACUCCUGUCAUGCGAGAACAAGAAAGUGAUAGUAUCGCAAGAGGAAGAGGCGGCUAACUCUGUGCCAGCAGCCGCGGUAAUACAGAGGCCUCAAGCGUUGUUCGGAUUCAUUGGGCGUAAAGGGUGCGUAGGUGGCUUGUUAAGUUGAAGGUGAAAUCUCGGGGCUCAACUCCGAAACUGCCUUCAAUACUGGCGAGCUCGAGGAUUGUAGAGGAGAAUGGAAUUCACGGUGUAGCAGUGAAAUGCGUAGAUAUCGUGAGGAAGACCAGUGGCGAAGGCGAUUCUCUGGGCAAUUCCUGACACUGAGGCACGAAGGCCAGGGGAGCAAACGGGAUUAGAUACCCCCGUAGUCC
rnacentral:rRNA from 1 species